UACGGAGGGGGCUAGCGUUGUUCGGAAUUACUGGGCGUAAAGCGCACGUAGGCGGACUGUUAAGUCGGGGGUGAAAUCCUGGGGCUCAACCUCAGAAUUGCCUCCGAUACUGGCAGUCUCGAGUGCGGGAGAGGUGAGUGGAAUUCCCAGUGUAGAGGUGAAAUUCGUAGAUAUUGGGAAGAACACCAGUGGCGAAGGCGGCUCACUGGCCCGUAACUGACGCUG
rnacentral:rRNA from 1 species